rnacentral:rRNA from 1 species
ACGCUCGACACCUACGGAGGCAGCAGUGGGGAAUAUUGCACAAUGGGGGAAACCCUGAUGCAGCGACGCCGCGUGAAGGAAGAAGUAUUUCGGUAUGUAAACUUCUAUCAGCAGGGAAGAAGAUGACGGUACCUGACUAAGAAGCCCCGGCUAACUACGUGUCAGCAGCCGCGGUAAUCUGAGGCGGGCUGGCAAGGC